rnacentral:rRNA from 1 species
UACGGAGGGUGCAAGCGUUAUCCGGAUUCACUGGGUUUAAAGGGUGCGUAGGUGGGUUGGUAAGUCCGUGGUGAAAUCCCCAAGCUUAACUUGGGAACUGCCGUGGAUACUAUCAAUCUUGAAUAUCGUUGAGGUAAGCGGAAUAUGUCAUGUAGCGGUGAAAUGCUUAGAUAUGACAUAGAACACCGAUAGCGGAGGCAGCUUACUAAGCGAUCAUUGACACUGAGGCACGAAAGCGUGGGGAGCGAACAGG